rnacentral:rRNA from 1 species
AACGAACGUUGGCGGCGUGGAUUAGGCAUGCAAGUCGCGGGAAUCCCAGCAAUGGGGGAACCGGCGUAAGGGGCAGUAAUGCGUGGGUACCUACCUUGGGGUCCGGGAUAGCCGUCCGAGAGGGCGGGUAAUACCGGAUGACCUCGGGAGAGCAAAGCUCCGGCGCCCUGAGAGGGGCCCACGUGAUAUUAGCUAGUUGGUGAGGUGACGGCUCACCAAGGCGGAGAUGUCUAGCGGGUGUGAGAGCACGACCCGCGCCACUCGCACUGAGACACUGGCGAGACACCUACGGGUGGCUGCAGUCGAGGAUCUUCGGCAAUGCGCGCAAGCGCGACCGAGCGACGCCGCGUGGGCGAUGAAGGCCUUCGGGUUGUAAAGCCCUGUCGAGGGGGAGAAAAGGGUAAAACUUUGAUCUAUCCCUGGAGGAAGCUCGGGCUAAGUUCGUGCCAGCAGCCGCGGUAAAAC